GAUUGAACGCUGGCGGUAUGCUUAACACAUGCAAGUCGAACGGAAACGAUACUAGCUUGCUAGUAGGCGUCGAGUGGCGGACGGGUGAGUAACGCGUAGGAAUCUGCCUGAUAGUGGGGGAUAGCCCGAAGAAAUUCGGAUUAAUACCGCAUAAUCUAUUCGUAGUAAAGUGGGGGACUUUCGAGCCUCACGCUAUCAGAUGAGCCUGCGUAAGAUUAGCUUGUUGGUAGGGUAAAAGCCUACCAAGGCGACGAUCUUUAGCUGGUCUGAGAGGAUGAUCAGCCACAUCGGGACUGAGACACGGCCCGAACUCCUACGGGAGGCAGCAGUGGGGAAUAUUGGACAAUGGGGGCAACCCUGAUCCAGCAAUACCGCGUGUGUGAAGAAGGCCUGAGGGUUGUAAAGCACUUUCAAUUGUGAAGAAAAGUUAGCGGUUAAUAACCGUUAGCCUUGACGUUAACUUUAGAAGAAGCACCGGCUAACUCCGUGCCAGCAGCCGCGGUAAUACGGAGGGUGCAAGCGUUAAUCGGAAUUACUGGGCGUAAAGCGUGCGUAGGCGGUUUAUUAAGUCAGAUGUGAAAGCCCCGGGCUUAACCUGGGAACUGCAUUUGAAACUGGUCAACUAGAGUAUGGUAGAGGAAAGUGGAAUUUCUGGUGUAGCGGUGAAAUGCGUAGAUAUCAGAAGGAACAUCAAUGGCGAAGGCAGCUUUCUGGACCAAUACUGACGCUGAGGUACGAAAGCGUGGGUAGCAAACAGGAUUAGAUACCCUGGUAGUCCACGCCGUAAACGAUGAUAACUAGCCGUUGGGGGGAUUUACCCUUUAGUGGCGAAGCUAACGCGUUAAGUUAUCCGCCUGGGGAGUACGGCCGCAAGGUUAAAACUCAAAGGAAUUGACGGGGACCCGCACAAGCGGUGGAGCAUGUGGUUUAAUUCGAUGCAACGCGAAGAACCUUACCUGGUCUUGACAUCCUGCGAACUUUCUAGAAAUAGAUUGGUGCCUUCGGGAACGCAGUGACAGGUGCUGCAUGGCUGUCGUCAGCUCGUGUCGUGAGAUGUUGGGUUAAGUCCCGUAACGAGCGCAACCCCUAUCCUUAUUUGCCAGCACAUCAUGGUGGGAACUAUAAGGAGACUGCCGGUGAUAAACCGGAGGAAGGCGGGGACGACGUCAAGUCAUCAUGGCCCUUACGACCAGGGCUACACACGUGCUACAAUGGGAAGGACAAAGAGCCGCGAAGCCGCGAGGUGUAGCUAAUCUCAUAAACCUUUUCGUAGUCCGGAUUGGAGUCUGCGACUCGACUCCAUGAAGUCGGAAUCGCUAGUAAUCGUAGAUCAGAAUGCUACGGUGAAUACGUUCCCGGGUCUUGUACACACCGCCCGUCAAGG
rnacentral:rRNA from 1 species